UGUUCAAUUAUGGAUUGGAGU
rnacentral:piRNA from 1 species